rnacentral:rRNA from 1 species
CCCAGAGGAAGCCACGGCUAACUUCUUGCCAGCAGUCGCGGUAAUACGAAGGUGGCGAGCGUUGUUCGGAAUCACUGGGCUUAAAGGGCACGCAGGCGGACUGUUAAGCGUCUUGUGAAAGCCCCCGGGUUAACCGGGGAAUUGCUGGGGGAUCUGGCAGUCUUGAGGCAGGUCAGGGCGAGUGGAACUCUUGGUGGAGCGGUGUACAUGCGUAGAUAUCAAGAGGACCGCCGGAGGCGAAAGCGACUCGCUGGGGCUGAGCUGACGCUGACGUGCGACCGCCAGGGGAGCGAACGGGAUGAGAUACCCCGGUAAUCCGGGCCACUGAGCGAUGUCCACAGAGAUCGCGUGAACUUCAUGACAGCACUGCCGGUCAGAAACAACAAGAGUUAAGUGAGACCGCCUAGGGGAGGACAGGUCGCAAAGGCUAAAACUCAAAGGAACUUGACGGGGGCUCAAACAAGCGGUGGAGCAUGUUGCAUAAUUCGAUGCAACGCGAAGAACCUUAUCCUGGGCUUGACAUGGUAGGAUGC